GUUUGUAGUGUUCCCUGGACACAAACCAGUGAGAGCCAUUAAAGAAGAGUUCCACAGGAUUGCAGGAUUUCCCAAUGUGAUUGGCUGCAUUGAUGGCACACAAAUUCCAAUCACUGCUCCUUCAGAAAAUGAAGCUAUGUGAAUAGGAAGUCCAUUCACAGCAUUAAUGUGCAGGUAAAUUGACCACUGUCACAAAAUGUCAAAAACUGUAUCACAAUACUGCAAGUAACAUCUGUCAUUCUCUGCACUGUCAAGAUGAUAUGUGAUGCUGCAUAUCUCAUAACCAACGUGGAGGCCAGAUGGCCUGGGUCUGUGCAUGACUCACGGAUAUAUCCUGAGUCUGCCCUGAGCAACAGACUGGAACAUGGAGAGUUUGAAGGCCUUCUGCUGGGUGACAGGGGUUACCCAUGCCAGCCCACUCUGCUCACCCCUUACCCUGACCCGGAGCCAGGCCCCCAACGCAACUUCAAUGUGGCCCACUGCAGGACUAGAGCCCGGGUGGAGAUGACCAUAGGCCUGCUGAAAGCUUGUUUCCAGUGCCUACACCACCUCAGGGUAACCCCUGAGAGGGCCUGUGACAUUAUUGUGGCAUGUGUUGUUCUCCAUAAUAUUGCCACAAAAGGACCCCAUCCACCCUGCAGAUGUCCAGGAUGGAAGAGCGGUCAGAGACAUUAUAUGCAGGAAUCACUUCGACUAAAACACAAGCACCACCCAAAU